AUUGAACGCUGGCGGAAGGCCUAACCCAUGCAAGUCGAACGAGUGGCGGACGGGUGAGUAAUGUCUGGGAAACUGCCUGAUGGAGGGGGAUAACUACUGGAAACGGUAGAUAAUACCGCAUACCAUCAGAUGUGCCAACAUGGGAUUAGCUAGUUGGUGGGGUAACGGCUCCCCAAGGCGACGAUCCCUAACUGGUCUUAGAGGAUGACCAGCCCCACUGGAACUGUGACACGUUCCGUACGCCUACGUGAGGCAGCGGUGGUGAAUGUUGCACAAUGGUAGCAAGCCUGAUGCAGCCAUGCCGCGGGUAUGAAGAAGGCCUUCGGGUUUUAAAGUACUGUCAGCGGGGAGGCGUUACCCGCAGAUGAAGCACCGGCUAACUCCGUGCCAGCAGCCGCGGUGAUUC
rnacentral:rRNA from 1 species